rnacentral:rRNA from 1 species
AGUGAACGCUGGCGGUAGGCCUAACACAUGCAAGUCGAACGGCAGCACAGUAAGAGCUUGCUCUUACGGGUGGCGAGUGGCGGACGGGUGAGGAAUACAUCGGAAUCUACUUUUUCGUGGGGGAUAACGUAGGGAAACUUACGCUAAUACCGCAUACGACCUACGGGUGAAAGCAGGGGAUCUUCGGACCUUGCGCAAUUGAAUGAGCCGAUGUCGGAUUAGCUAGUUGGCGGGGUAAAGGCCCACCAAGGCGACGAUCCGUAGCUGGUCUGAGAGGAUGAUCCGCCACACUGGAACUGAGACACGGUCCAGACUCCUACGGGAGGCAGCAGUGGGGAAUAUUGGACAAUGGGCGCAAGCCUGAUCCAGCCAUACCGCGUGGGUGAAGAAGGCCUUCGGGUUGUAAAGCCCUUUUGUUGGGAAAGAAAAGCAGCAGGUUAAUACCCCGCUGUUCUGACGGUACCCAAAGAAUAAGCACCGGCUAACUUCGUG